rnacentral:rRNA from 1 species
AGCGUACACGGUGGAUGCCCUGGCAGUCAGAGGCGAUGAAGGACGUGCUAAUCUGCGAUAAGCGCCGGUAAGGUGAUAUGAACCGUUAUAACCGGCGAUUUCCGAAUGGGGAAACCCAGUGUGACUCGUCACACUAUCAUUAACUGAAUCCAUAGGUUAAUGAGGCGAACCGGGGGAACUGAAACAUCUAAGUACCCCGAGGAAAAGAAAUCAACCGAGAUUCCCCCAGUAGCGGCGAGCGAACGGGGAGGAGCCCAGAGCCUGAAUCAGCAUGUGUGUUAGUGGAAGCGUCUGGAAAGGCGCGCGAUACAGGGUGACAGCCCCGUACACAAAAGCGCAUGUGCUGUGAGCUCGAUGAGUAGGGCGGGACACGUGGUAUCCUGUCUGAAUAUGGGGGGACCAUCCUCCAAGGCUAAAUACUCCUGACUGACCGAUAGUGAACCAGUACCGUGAGGGAAAGGCGAAAAGAACCCCGGCGAGGGGAGUGAAAAAGAACCUGAAACCGUGUACGUACAAGCAGUGGGAGCACCCUUUGGGGUGUGACUGCGUACCUUUUGUAUAAUGGGUCAGCGACUUAUAUUCUGUAGCAAGGUUAACCGAAUAGGGGAGCCGGAGGGAAACCGAGUCUUAACCGGGCGUUAAGUUGCAGGGUAUAGACCCGAAACCCGGUGAUCUAGCCAUGGGCAGGUUGAAGGUUGGGUAACACUAACUGGAGGACCGAACCGACUAAUGUUGAAAAAUUAGCGGAUGACCUGUGGCUGGGGGUGAAAGGCCAAUCAAACCGGGAGAUAGCUGGUUCUCCCCGAAAGCUAUUUAGGUAGCGCCUCGUGAAUUCAUCUCCGGGGGUAGAGCACUGUUUCGGCUAGGGGGCCAUCCCGGCUUACCAACCCGAUGCAAACUGCGAAUACCGGAGAAUGUUAUCACGGGAGACACACGGCGGGUGCUAACGUCCGUCGUGAAGAGGGAAACAACCCAGACCGCCAGCUAAGGUCCCAAAGUCAUGGUUAAGUGGGAAACGAUGUGGGAAGGCCCAGACAGCCAGGAUGUUGGCUUAGAAGCAGCCAUCAUUUAAAGAAAGCGUAAUAGCUCACUGGUCGAGUCGGCCUGCGCGGAAGAUGUAACGGGGCUAAACCAUGCACCGAAGCUGCGGCAGCGACGCUGAUGCGUUGUUGGGUAGGGGAGCGUUCUGUAAGCCUGCGAAGGUGGCCUGUGAGGGUUGCUGGAGGUAUCAGAAGUGCGAAUGCUGACAUAAGUAACGAUAAAGCGGGUGAAAAGCCCGCUCGCCGGAAGACCAAGGGUUCCUGUCCAACGUUAAUCGGGGCAGGGUGAGUCGACCCCUAAGGCGAGGCCGAAAGGCGUAGUCGAUGGGAAACGGGUUAAUAUUCCCGUACUUGGUGUUACUGCGAAGGGGGGACGGAGAAGGCUAUGUUGGCCGGGCGACGGUUGUCCCGGUUUAAGCGUGUAGGUGUGUGUUCCAGGUAAAUCCGGUUCACUUUAACACUGAGGCGUGAUGACGAGGCACUACGGUGCUGAAGCAACAAAUGCCCUGCUUCCAGGAAAAGCCUCUAAGCAUCAGGUAACAUCAAAUCGUACCCCAAACCGACACAGGUGGUCAGGUAGAGAAUACCAAGGCGCUUGAGAGAACUCGGGUGAAGGAACUAGGCAAAAUGGUGCCGUAACUUCGGGAGAAGGCACGCUGACACGUAGGUGAAGUGAUUUACUCAUGGAGCUGAAGUCAGUCGAAGAUACCAGCUGGCUGCAACUGUUUAUUAAAAACACAGCACUGUGCAAACACGAAAGUGGACGUAUACGGUGUGACGCCUGCCCGGUGCCGGAAGGUUAAUUGAUGGGGUCAGCGCAAGCGAAGCUCCUGAUCGAAGCCCCGGUAAACGGCGGCCGUAACUAUAACGGUCCUAAGGUAGCGAAAUUCCUUGUCGGGUAAGUUCCGACCUGCACGAAUGGCGUAAUGAUGGCCAGGCUGUCUCCACCCGAGACUCAGUGAAAUUGAACUCGCUGUGAAGAUGCAGUGUACCCGCGGCAAGACGGAAAGACCCCGUGAACCUUUACUAUAGCUUGACACUGAACAUUGAGCCUUGAUGUGUAGGAUAGGUGGGAGGCUUUGAAGUGUGGACGCCAGUCUGCAUGGAGCCGGCCUUGAAAUACCACCCUUUAAUGUUUGAUGUUCUAACGUGGACCCGUGAUCCGGGUUGCGGACAGUGUCUGGUGGGUAGUUUGACUGGGGCGGUCUCCUCCUAAAGAGUAACGGAGGAGCACGAAGGUUGGCUAAUCCUGGUCGGACAUCAGGAGGUUAGUGCAAUGGCAUAAGCCAGCUUGACUGCGAGCGUGACGGCGCGAGCAGGUGCGAAAGCAGGUCAUAGUGAUCCGGUGGUUCUGAAUGGAAGGGCCAUCGCUCAACGGAUAAAAGGUACUCCGGGGAUAACAGGCUGAUACCGCCCAAGAGUUCAUAUCGACGGCGGUGUUUGGCACCUCGAUGUCGGCUCAUCACAUCCUGGGGCUGAAGUAGGUCCCAAGGGUAUGGCUGUUCGCCAUUUAAAGUGGUACGCGAGCUGGGUUUAGAACGUCGUGAGACAGUUCGGUCCCUAUCUGCCGUGGGCGCUGGAGAACUGAGGGGGGCUGCUCCUAGUACGAGAGGACCGGAGUGGACGCAUCACUGGUGUUCGGGUUGUCAUGCCAAUGGCACUGCCCGGUAGCUAAAUGCGGAAGAGAUAAGUGCUGAAAGCAUCUAAGCACGAAACUUGCCCCGAGAUGAGUUCU